CCUACGGGAGGCAUCAGUGGGGAAUAUUGCACAAUGGGGGAAACCCUGAUGCAGCGACGCCGCGUGAGUGAAGAAGUAUUUCGGUACGUAAAGCUCUAUCAGCAGGGAAGAAAAUGACGGUACCUGACUAAGAAGCCCCGGCUAACUACGUGCCAGCAGCCGCGGUAAUACGUAGGGGGCAAGCGUUAUCCGGAUUUACUGGGUGUAAAGGGAGCGUAGACGGCAGCGCAAGUCUGGAGUGAAAUCCCAUGGCUUAACCAUGGAACUGCUUUGGAAACUGUGCAGCGAGAGUGCAGGAGAGGUAAGCGGAAUUCGUAGUGUAGCGGUGAAAUGCGUAGAUAUUAGGAGGAACACCAGUGGCGAAGGCGGCUUACUGGACUGUAACUGACGUUGAGGCUCGAAAGCGUGGGGAGCAAACAGGAUUAGAUACCCGUGUAGUC
rnacentral:rRNA from 1 species